AAAGGUCAGGUCAUAACUAGUGUCAUCAGGGCACCAGGACACAUAGCUGCUAUCAUCAUCCCUUCUGGGACCACCUUACACAUUCUGCCUCUGUGUGAGGCACAAUCCCUGGCCUCUUCCACUCAUUCCUUUCUCCCCCUUCAGGGGCUCAUUUCUGUCAUACUCCUCCACAUCCUCAUGAGCCUCCCCUUCACAGAUGCUCAGGCUCCUAGACAGCUGGGUUGUUACUACUGAAAAUUGGGAUAGAUCAAUCCUCAGCAAUGACCAGGCCACGGAGGAGGAACUUUCAAGCUGGAGCACUUUCCAAGGCAGCUCAAAACACCCUCUAGUCAGCCAUGGCCACCCCUGACUUCCUGAACCCAGAGGGUAUCCAAGUCCCAUAAAUAGGGACAGGCCGACUAUCUAGUGUGUCAUGCAGUUCAGCCUGGGGCUCACACUGCACCCACUGUCAUCAACUAACAACAAGGAAAGCUAAAGUCUGAACCAUCCCUUCCUCCGUGCAGCCUCUACGACUUUGAGACCGCUUUUUUCAGGAUUCGGCUGUUAGGAACACUAUUAUAAACAACUAUUUACCAAAUAGAAUUUUCCUAACACCAUAAAAUAUUUAUUACUCAGUAAAUGGAGCUGGGACAAUUGGGCAGCCAAGGAGGAGGGAGUGCAGGGAGAUUCCUGUUCCAACUUAUGCCAAAAUAAAUUCCAGAUGGCUCACAUAUUUAAAUGUAAAAACAAAAAAACAAACAAAACUCAAAGCUAGAAGAAAAUGGGAGGCUUUUUUUUAAUAAGCGUGGUUUGAGAAAGGCCUUUCCAAACGUUAUAAAACCCUGAAUCCAUUUUUUAAAAAGGAUUAAUAUAUUUGAGUCUAUAAAAACUAAACAUUUCUGCAUAGCAAAAUGCACCUUUGAGAAAAAGAAACAAUGGAAAACUAACAUGUGCACCACAUGUAACAAGGACACCUUGACAACAGCUAUCAAAAGUAAACUAACGCCUAUGUCUCGGAAGAUCAGUAGAUGCUCUUUUCCCUGCUCUUCCCACUAAGUACGAUUAAAACCCCCAGUGGAAACACCAGUGGGCACAGACAAAAACCUGUUCUUCCCAGCCAGAGGACCAGGAAAGGGGCAGCUUAGCAAGACAGAAAAUUUAGACAAUAAAUAACUGCUCUACUCCAGCCAAGCACCACAGGAAAAAUGGGGCCCCACCCAGAUCAGCAAAGGCCAAGACCUCUGCCCUCACAAAGCUAUAAUGAGGUGCCCAACAACCUCACGCAUGUUGUCAGAGGGGGCCUGGUGAAGAGACAGAACGCUCACCAGCGCCCAGUGAUUGUGAUGCUGCUCCCGCCUUGGGAGUCAGUGGAAACUACAGGGGCAGCCGGGAGUGCCACGGCACCCCAGCAGUAACAAGCAGCCUCCCACCUCAGGUGUCAGUGGAGGCCAGGUGGGGAAGCUGGGCUUUGACCCCCAACCUGGCAGUAGUAUGCUAUUUCCUUUUCCCUUGCUAGAGUGGUGUCAAAGUCAGCUAAAAGAGAAGGUUUAAAUAAGAAUGAGAAACAGAAAUGUCCAAGUUUCAAUAGAAAAUCACUUAUCAUACCAAUAUCCAGAAAACUCUCAAUCUGAAUUUAAAAGGCAGUAAUCAAUAGAUAUCAACACUUAGCCAGACAUGGUGGCACAAACCUGUAGUCCCAGCUACUCGGAAGCCUGAGGCAGGAGAAUGGCUUGAGCCUGGGGAGGCAGAGGUUGCAAUGAGCCGAGAUUGCGUCACUGCACUCUAGCCUGGGCAAAAGAGUGAGACUUCGUCUGGAAAAAAAAAAAAAAAAGAUAUCAGCACCAAGAUGGACAGAUAUUAGAAUUAUCUGACAAAUAUUUUAAAGCAGCCAUAAGAAAGUUUCAACAAAUAAUUAUAAACACACUUGUAGCAAAAGAAAAAGUCAAAUGUCUGAGCAAAGAAAUAAAAGAUAUAAAGAACCUAUUGGAAAUUCUAGAACUAAAAAAAUACAAUAACCAAAAUCAGUGGAUGGGCUUAAGAGUGGAGUGGAUGGGAAAGGAAAGAAUGCACCAUAAACUGGGAAACAAAACAACAGAAAUUACCCAAUCUGAACAACAGAGAGAAAACAGAUUGAAAAAAAUGAACAGCAUCUCAGGGACCUGUGUGACCAUAACAAAAGAUCUAACAUUGUGUCAACGAAGAAGAGGGAAAAAGAGGCUAAGAAAAUACUCGAGGCCGGGUAUUGUGGCUCAUGUCUGUAAUCCUAACUCUUUGGAAGGCGAAGUGGGAGAAUUGCUUGAGUCCAGGAGCUCAAGACCAGCCUGGGCAACAUAGUGGGACCCUGUCUCUACAGAAAAACUUUAAAAUUAGCUGGGCGUGAUGGUGUGUGCCUGUAGUCCCAACUACUCUGGAGGCUGAGGUGGCAGAAUUGCUUGAGCCCAGGAGGUCGAGGCUGCAGUGACCUGUGAUCACACCACUGCACUCCAGCCUGGGCAACAGAGUGAGACCCCCAUCUCAAAAAAAAAAAAAAAAAAAGCACUGAAAAAAAUAAUGCCUGAGAACUUCCAAAAUUUGGCAACAAACAUAAGCCUUCAGAUUCAAGAAGCCAAGCAAAUCCCAAACCAGAUAAACUCUGCGAAAGUGGUUAGAAUUAAAAGUCAUUUCUGGCCGGGCAUGGUGACUCAUGCCUAUAAUCCCAGCACUUUGGGAGGCUGAGACAGGUGGAUCACGUGAGGCCAAGAGUUCGAGACCAGCCUGGCCAACAUGAUAAAAGCCCAAAAAAUGAGCCAGACAUGGCGGUGCAUGCCUAUAAUCCCAGCUACUCAGGAGGCUGAGGCAGGAUAAUUGCUUGAACCCAGGAGGUGGAGGUUGCAGUGAGCCAAGAUUGCGCCACUGCACUCCAGCCUGGGCAACAGAGGGAGACUGUGUCACAAAAAAAAAAAAAAAAAAAGGAAAGACGAAAGAAAGAGAGAAAGAAAGAGAGAAACAACAAAAAACAACAAAAAAAACAGUCACUUUUGUGUUAAAAAAAAAAAAAAAGCUGGAGAGACAGUUCUCAUGCAUAAAUGCCUGGUAACAAAAACUAUUAUUACAAAAGACCACAACCUUUUGAAAACUAGAACCUAGCACAAAGACCAUCACAACCUUAUACCAAAAAAAUACUUCUGCAAGGACAUCUGCUCAGCAACUGACUGUCCAACCCCAAACUGGCCCCACCGUUGUUAUUGAUCCUUGUAGCCAAGGAUAAUUAUCUCAAAACAAUUAUGUAAUCCUCAUUUUUCCUUUGAAAACCUCUGUCUUCCUUCAGGUCCCUGAAUAUGCACAUGGUUUACUAUCACACAUGUAUUCCCAUUGCAAUACCUUAUUACCAAAUAAAUAUCAUUUUCUUUUAUUAGAGGGCCUCACUCCAUUUGUUAUUGAGAUUGACAUAAAUGUUGUCAGAAGUGGGAUGAGGCAGGCUCACUUCAGAAGAAUCAGAGGCCCCUGAAACUGAGUGUAUUCUGACUGAGCCCUUUGUGCUCUCCAUCUUCAUGAGUUGCCUUUUCCAGCCAGGUGAAUCUCCUGUAGGAUUCUCAGACUCCCUCUCUUUGGUGAGUUGUUUUUCACUUUAUAGAGGAUUUGUUUCAGUUACAAGUCUGUCUUUAAUAAAGGACACUACAUCCCUCCCUCCUGGGAUGAUAAAAGACUUUUUGUCCUUUCUGGAAAGUCCUUUCUGGGAUGAGGACAAGGGCCCUUCUGGUUUGAGUGCUCUGGUUUCUACAGAAUUUAUAUCCUAUCUGUGAGGCAAGUCUUUUCUGGAGAAUUUACUUUUGGUUCUUCCUGCAUGCCUAAUUUAAUAGUGUGUUUAAUCUGCACACCUGGGUUAAAAGUAUUGUGAACACUAAUUUUGGUCUCAUUUUGGUUUGGUUAUGCGUGUCUGUAAAUGAUUUGGCCCUUUUCCUUUGCUGAUUUCUGGAAAUUCUCCAAGAGCAAAAAUAAACAUUCCAAAUGGCAGACACUAGUGGAUGACUAAUUAAAAGCCAUGAGGGCAGUUGCCAUGAUCUAAAAUACCAGUCCAGACGCCUGACAUUCUCUGGUGGAUUUACAGGAUUAUCUUUGCUCUUGAGAGAUUAAUAAGAAAUGGAAUGGGAUUCACAAACGCUAAGGCAUGCCAGGUUUUCUGAGGCUCCAGCCAGCUAUAUAAUAUGGCCCAUUCUUAUGCAUAUUUUUUAACUGAUGGGCAAAUUACGUGAAGGAAAAUUCAGAGCUCAAUGGUCAUUAGUCAAACCCUCUAAAAAAGAAAAAAAAAACACACACAAACCCUCCAACUACAAUGUUAACAUAUGGAUCCUUCUAAGAUCUCUACUUUGAAUCUGCUAACUUUUCUGCUGGUGUUGAGAUAACACUCUCUUCUAAUGGCAUUCCAGCCAAUUUUUUUUUUUUUAUCUUAAAGGUCUUUCAAAUUAAUGGCUUUACAAAUUACAACAGCUUCAUGGCAGCCAACAACCUAGACACCUUUUGUAAAUGUAAAUUUAGGUUUGUCUAACAACCACUUAAGGUGAUAGAACAGUUAAUUGAAGGAUUAAUAGUCUACAAGAAAAAGAACUAGGUAAAUGCUUAUAAAAGUUAGGUUCUCAGGGCCAGGUUUAAUCCCAGCACUUUGGGAGGCCGAGGCAGACAGCUCACUUGAGGUCUGGAGUUUGAGACCAACCUGGCCAACAUGGUGAAACCCUAUCUCUACUAAAAAUACAGAAAUUAACCGGGCAUGGUGGCAGGUGCCUGUAAUCCCAGCUACUUGGGAGGCUGAGGCGGGAGAAUCGCUUGAACCCAGGAGGCAGAGAUUACAGUGAUCUGAGAUCAUGCCACUGCACUCCAGCCUGGGUGACACAGCCAGACUCCGUCUCAAAAAAAAAAAAAUUGGGCUUCUAGACCAAACAGGUGACAAUCAUUAGCUCAGAGUAAUAAUAUAAGGUUUCUCUGUCCAGCAUAAAAACUGCUUAAGUCUGACACAAGGCACCAGAAAAAGCCAA
rnacentral:lncRNA from 10 species